AUUGAACGCUGGCGGCAUGCUUUACACAUGCAAGUCGAACGGCAGCGCGGGCUUUGGCCUGGCGGCGAGUGGCGAACGGGUGAGUAAUACAUCGGAACGUGCCCAGUAGUGGGGGAUAGCUCGGCGAAAGCCGGAUUAAUACCGCAUACGACCUGAGGGUGAAAGCGGGGGAUCUUCGGACCUCGCGCUAUUGGAGCGGCCGAUGGCAGAUUAGCUAGUUGGUGGGGUAAAGGCCUAUCAAGGCGACGAUCUGUAGCUGGUCUGAGAGGACGACCAGCCACACUGGGACUGAGACACGGCCCAGACUCCUACGGGAGGCAGCAGUGGGGAAUUUUGGACAAUGGGCGAAAGCCUGAUCCAGCAAUGCCGCGUGUGUGAUGAAGGCCUUCGGGUUGUAAAGCACUUUUGGCGGGAACGAAAAGGACUGUGCCAAUACCACGGUUCGAUGACGGUACCCGCAGAAUAAGCACCGGCUAACUACGUG
rnacentral:rRNA from 1 species